rnacentral:rRNA from 1 species
GUCGAACGGGGUUUAUAUGACGGAACUCUCCGGAGGGAAGAUAUAUAAACCUAGUGGCGGACGGGUGAGUAACGCGUGGGCAACCUGCCCUGUACCGGGGGACAACAGCCAGAAAUGGCUGCUAAUACCGCAUAAGCCUGCUGUGCCGCAUGGCACAGCAGGGAAAACCACGGCGGUACAGGAUGGGCCCGCGUCUGAUUAGUUAGUUGGCAGGGUAACGGCCUACCAAGACAACGAUCAGUAGCCGGCUUGAGAGAGUGGACGGCCACAUUGGGACUGAGACACGGCCCAGACUCCUGCGGGAGGCAGCAGUGGGGAAUAUUGCACAAUGGGGGGAACCCUGAUGCAGCAAUGCCGCGUGGGUGAAGAAGCACUCCGGUGCGUAAAGCCCUGUCAGCAGGGAAGAAAAUGACAGUACCUGGACAAGAAGCCCCGGCUAACUACGUGCCAGCAGCCGCGGUAAUACGUAGGGGGCAAGCGUUAUCCGGAUUUACUGGGUGUAAAGGGAGCGCAGGCGGCGUGGCAAGUCAGAUGUGAAAACCCGGGGCCCAACCCCGGGAGUGCAUUUGAAACUGCCAUGCUGGAGUGCCGGAGAGGUAAGCGGAAUUCCUAGUGUAGCGGUGAAAUGCGUAGAUAUUAGGAGGAACACCAGUGGCGGAGGCGGCUUACUGGACGGUAACUGACGCUGAGGCUCGAAAGCGUGGGGAGCAAACAGGAUUAGAUACCCUGGUAGUCCACGCUGUAAACGAUGAAUACUAGGUACAGGGGCACAAAAAGU